AAAACGCAUUCGCAAAUAGCGUUAAAACUUUAGUUUACUAGUAACUCCAGUCAAUAUCGAGUUAAUUUCGUGUUUGUUAAUGUAGUAUUGAUUUGGUAAGCCAAUUUUUCGAUUUAUUACGGGUUAGUUCAGCAGUUUUGCAAGGAACAGUUUUCCGAAUUGUACUGUUUUUAAAACUCUAGAAUUUGAAAAGUAUCGCUUGUAUACCUGGGAAUUGAACUGUAUGUGAAUUGAUAAACUGUGGUGGGAUUUUUCCAGCCAUCACUACAAUGCAGACAACGCCAAAUCCUGGAAGAUAUGUAGCGCAUAAAUUACAGCUGUGAAUGCCAAAAAAAAUCUGGAGAGCAAUAUUUAUUUGUCUUUAACUAGGCUGCUCUAAAGAACCUACAAGUACUGGCUUUUAUCAUCACACUCAACAGGUGGUGCAUGGUGGACAUUUAUAAUCGAGCGGCAGAAUAUCCAGAAUGCUCGAAAUGCAAGAAAAAGUUUAUCAUUUGGAGCCGAGGAAUUGACGAUCCGCUAGAUGUGGACUACCUGUUUUAAUUUACAGAAAAUCCAAACUCACUUCAAUAUUUGGUAAAAUUUUAAAAGUCAAUGUCCACAAAAACAUCACAAAAAAGCGAGAGUUGCUUAAGGAACAUUAUCAUGGGUCACCAACGUUGGCAACAAAAUACUUCCAAAUGCUCAUGUUGGUACUUACAGAAGGAGAAGGAAGUUUAAACAAUAUUGCCUUAUACAAUAUAUUCCAAUGCCAUUGACGGAAAGUUACUCCAAUGCGGAAAGUUACUCCAAUGUCCCCUGUCAGACCUUAUACACGUUGAUAGAAGUUGUUGUUCAAGUCGCCCCAAUGUAAACAAACUAUUUCACAAGUGGGAAGCAACAAUUGUUCAUCUGGACAUUUAGCAUUUUAUUUAGCGCAUUGGAAUCCCACCCUCUCUAUGAUAUUUUUCUCGGCCAGUUGUCCCAAUGCAUCUUCGAGAGUAAUGAGGACUUGAACCUAUUAAUCCGAGCUAAUAUGUUGCAGCUGGUCGGCAGUGGUUUUUUUAAAUCUUUCAUACUAAAACAGAACUUGCAAAACACUGCUGUCGAAAAACAAGAUUCAAAGAAGAAAUAAAACAACUGAUGGGCCAACUGAUUCAAACAUUUACUGGUGCACUAGGGGUACCACUUUUGGAUGCGGAACUCACAUCAUUGAUAUGGAAAGAGCAGCAGCAGCAUGUAAAGUGUAUCACAGAUCCUGAAAAUUAUGCAUUGUAUAUUGAAAUGGGACAAUUAAAAAAGGGCAACAGAAUGCUAAAAACUUACAGAUGUGGACGAGGGUCUUUUAAACUGAUUUAUUCCAGGUACAAGUGCAAGUGACUUGCACUUUCAAAACAUAUCUGUUGAAGGGAAUAUCGAGAUGAAAUUUUGACAGCGUUGCUGCUGCUGUAUCGUCUCCUAAAACGAUCUCUAGCUAUAACGCCACAGUGCUCCACACAGCCAAUAAGCUAGCAAGGCUGUCUUUAAACAAGAAAUGCGGCACAGUGCUAUACAUGGUAAUACACCUGGGCCAAUAUACAGGUGAACUUAUUGGUGUUAAGUACUUAUAACUGGAGCAGUGUUGAACGCCUUUAACUCUUGAUGAGCCUGCAGACAAAUUGCUGCUAGUGCUGGCCGAUAUGAGCGAUUUAUAAACGUUCAAGGAAUUCCUGUAAGAUCUGGAGGAAAAAGGUGAUAUCGCUGAAGCUACAUUAAAAAGUUUGCUUGCAAAUUUCUACAGGCCCGCUUCUGACGAGGGCCCAAGAACAAAAGGAGGAAGGUGAUAUCGCGGAAGCUACAUUAGGCAGUUUGCUUCCAGAUACAAACAGUCUUGCUUCUGGUAUGUGUAUUAGGAACAUGCUUUAUGCACCAAGACUUACAGCUGUAAUAACUUAAAUUUUAAGUUCAGGUGUGUCAGCAGUUAGACCUACAAUGUGUGCAAGUAGACCUUAAAACCUGGUCACCAGAAUCAGGUUCCACUUCGUUUUUAUGCUUUACCUUCACUUCUAAAUCAGAACUGUUGGCAGCCAAUACAAAGGCAAAUAUGAGAAAACAGAAAACCCACUUGUAAACAGGUUAUUUAUUGAGUUUGCAAGUGGUCUCAUCUGUGGCAGAGGUGUAUGUGGGACAAAGCAAUAUCUUUGUCCAUAUCAUGGUAACCCUUUGGUAAUGGUCUCUAAUAUAGAGUGUACCGGCUCCUUGACAAAUGAGUAUGCCUUGGACAUCGUGAGGCACCUGUUGGACGUAUACGACAAGCGACAUGUUUCCUGGGGGCUUUUACUGGUACUUCUUAAUAGCCCGGCUGCAAUCGAUAUGUAGAAUCUACCAUUUUCAAAACUGUGUGACAUACACACUGGUCCAGAACGUCGACAGAGUAAAACAAU